rnacentral:rRNA from 1 species
GAUGAACGCUGGCGGCGUGCCUAAUACAUGCAAGUCGAGCGAACAGACGAGGAGCUUGCUCCUCUGACGUUAGCGGCGGACGGGUGAGUAACACGUGGAUAACCUACCUAUAAGACUGGGAUAACUUCGGGAAACCGGAGCUAAUACCGGAUAAUAUCUUGAACCGCAUGGUUCAAUGGUGAAAGACGGUUUUGCUGUCACUUCUAGAUGGAUCCGCGCCGCAUUAGCUAGUUGGUAAGGUAACGGCUUACCAAGGCAACGAUGCGUAGCCGACCGGAGAGGGUGAUCGGCCACACUGGAACGGAGACACGGUCCAGAGUCCUACGGGAGGCAGCAGAAGGGAAUCGUCCGCAAUGGGCGAAAGCCUGACGGAGCAACGCCGCGUGAGUGAUGAAGGUCUUCGGAUCGUAAAACUCUGUUAUUAGGGAAGAACAAAUGUGUAAGUAACUAUGCACGUCUUGACGGUACCUAAUCAGAAAGCCACGGCUAACUACGUG